rnacentral:rRNA from 1 species
UACGUAGGGGGCAAGCGUUUGUCCGGAUUUAUUGGGCGUAAAGAGCUCGUAGGUGGUUCGGUAAGUCGGAUGUGAAAUCUCCAGGCUCAACCUGGAGGGGUCAUUCGAUACUGCCGUGACUAGAGUUCGGUAGGGGAGUGUGGAAUUCCUGGUGGAGCGGUGAAAUGCGCAGAUAUCAGGAGGAACACCCGUAGCGAAGGCGGCACUCUGGGCCGAUACUGACACUGAGGAGCGAAAGCGUGGGGAGCGAACAGG